AUGCCACUGGAGUCAUCUUUCUCUUCAGUGCCACUAUCCUUCCCAUCUCUCUUACCCUCAGUACCACCCAACACUAGCUCUUCCCCUCCUCCGAUGUGUCUUACAUCACCUCCCAGAAGAUAAAGUGUAUUCUUCACUGGUUUGCCAAUUGGUCAGGUCCCCAGUGUGAACGUUUCCUAGAGGACCUGGGAGCUAGGCAGUGGCAGGAAAAUUACAGCCACUACUGAAUAGUCUGGAGCAGCUUAGUGUGUCUGGGGCAAACCGACCACCUUCUGUCUGAGUGCCAGAUACAUCUUUGGGAUCAGUGGUUUUGAGGCUGGGCUGAGCAGAGCACAAUGAAUUUGUCAGACAGCUGGAGUUCAGUGAGCCAGACUUUGUGGCAAAGUUUUACCAAGCAGUAGCUGCUAGAGCUUGUAAGGACUGAUAGGCAUUCAGACCAAAGAAGAUUACCAUAGCUGAUGGACCCAAGGCCAUGACUCUACAAUGAGAAUUCAAUUCAAAUGUGUCACCUAAAGGUCUGGAACUGGUAUUCCAACCAGCUGACUGAACUCACUGACCAGUACAGGCAUGGUUAUUUCAACAUUAAUAGCAAGUCAACUGGACUCCUAUUUGUAAAUGCUAUAAAUCUAAGCAAUCCAGUUCAUUGGUCUACUAGUUUGCUUCUUUCCAAGAGACGUCAAAUCUUCAAGAAUGUGAUGGCUUCUUCUGCAGCUAUAACCAAAAGGAACCUACACGUUAUAACUCAAGCCCACUGCUGGCUCAUGAAGUGUGUAAAGUAGA